CCUACGGGAGGCUGCAGUGAGGAAUAUUGGUCAAUGGGCGCGAGCCUGAACCAGCCAAGUCGCGUGAGGGAAGACGGUCCUAUGGAUUGUAAACCUCUUUUGUCGGGGAGCAAAAGACGCCACGCGUGGCGUUCCGAGAGUACCCGAAGAAAAAGCAUCGGCUAACUCCGUGCCAGCAGCCGCGGUAAUACGGAGGAUGCGAGCGUUAUCCGGAUUUAGUGGGGUUAAAGGGUGCGCAGGCGGAAGAGCAAGUCAGCGGUAAAAUUGAGAGGCUCAACCUCUUCGAGCCGUUGAAACUGGUUUUCUUGAGUGAGUGAGAAGUAUGCGGAAUGCGUGGUGUAGCGGUGAAAUGCAUAGAUAUCACGCAGAACUCCGAUUGCGAAGGCAGCAUACCGGCGCUCAACUGACGCUCAUGCACGAAAGUGUGGGUAUCGAACAGGAUUAGAUACCCCUGUAGUC
rnacentral:rRNA from 1 species